rnacentral:rRNA from 1 species
AGCGAACGCUAGCGGGUGGCUUAACACAUGCAAGUCGAGCGGGUGCCUUCGGGCACCAGCGGCGAACGGGUGCGUAACGCGUAGGAACUCUACCUCCUGGUGAGGGAUAACUCGGCGAAAGUCGUGCUAAUACCACAUAUGGCCUACGGGUCAAAGCAGCAAUGCGCCAGAAGAUGAGCCUGCGUCCCAUUAUUUAAUCCUAGUUGGCGGGGUAACGGCCCACCAAGGGUACGAUGGGUAGCUGGUCUGAGAGGACGAUCAGCCACACUGGGACUGAGACACUGCCCAGACACCUACGGGUGGCUGCAGUCGAGAAUAUUCCCCAAUGGCCGAAAGGCUGAGGGAGCGACGCCGCGUGCAGGAAUAAGGCCUCGGUCGUAACGUAGCUUUGUCCGACGGAAGGAAGUACAA